rnacentral:rRNA from 1 species
AGAAUCAACGCUGGCGGCGUGCCUAACACAUGCAAGUCGCACGAGAAAGGGGAGCAAUCCCUGAGUAAAGUGGCGCACGGGUGAGUAACACGUGAAUGAUCUACCUCCGAGUGGGGAAUAACUGAGAGAAAUCUUAGCUAAUACCGCAUAACACUUACGAGUCAAAGCAGCAAUGCGCUUGGAGAGGAGUUCGCGGCCGAUUAGUUAGUUGGCGGGGUAAUGGCCCACCAAGACGAUGAUCGGUAUCCGGCCUGAGAGGGCGCACGGACACACUGGAACUGAAACACGGUCCAGACUCCUACGGAGGCAGCAGUGGGGAAUUUUGCGCAAUGGGGGAAACCCUGACGCAGCAACGCCGCGUGGAGGAUGAAAUAUCUUGGUAUGUAAACUCCUUUCGAUGGGGAAGAUUAUGACGGUACCCAUAGAAGAAGCCCCGGCUAACUUCGUGCCAGCAGCCGC